CUAUCUGCAGUCGAGCGGACGACGGGAGCUUGCUCCCUUAGGUCAGCGGCGGACGGGUGAGUAACACGUGGGUAACCUGCCUGUAAGACUGGGAUAACUCCGGGAAACCGGGGCUAAUACCGGAUGCUUGAUUGAACCGCAUGGUUCAAUCAUAAAAGGUGGCUUUUAGCUACCACUUGCAGAUGGACCCGCGGCGCAUUAGCUAGUUGGUGAGGUAACGGCUCACCAAGGCGACGAUGCGUAGCCGACCUGAGAGGGUGAUCGGCCACACUGGGACUGAGACACGGCCCAGACUCCUACGGGAGGCAGCAGUAGGGAAUCUUCCGCAAUGGACGAAAGUCUGACGGAGCAACGCCGCGUGAGUGAUGAAGGUUUUCGGAUCGUAAAACUCUGUUGUUAGGGAAGAACAAGUACCGUUCGAAUAGGGCGGCACCUUGACGGUACCUAACCAGAAAGCCACGGCUAACUACGUGCCAGCAGCCGCGGUAAUACGUAGGUGGCAAGCGUUGUCCGGAAUUAUUGGGCGUAAAGCGCGCGCAGGCGGUUUCUUAAGUCUGAUGUGAAAGCCCCCGGCUCAACCGGGGAGGGUCAUUGGAAACUGGGGAACUUGAGUGCAGAAGAGGAGAGUGGAAUUCCACGUGUAGCGGUGAAAUGCGUAGAGAUGUGGAGGAACACCAGUGGCGAAGGCGACUCUCUGGUCUGUAACUGACGCUGAGGCGCGAAAGCGUGGGGAGCGAACAGGAUUAGAUACCCUGGUAGUCCACGCCGUAAACGAUGAGUGCUAAGUGUUAGAGGGUUUCCGCCCUUUAGUGCUGCAGCAAACGCAUUAAGCACUCCGCCUGGGGAGUACGGUCGCAAGACUGAAACUCAAAGGAAUUGACGGGGGCCCGCACAAGCGGUGGAGCAUGUGGUUUAAUUGGAAGCAACGCGAAGAACCUUACCAGGUCUUGACAUCCUCUGACAACCCUAGAGAUAGGGCUUCCCCUUCGGGGGCAGAGUGACAGGUGGUGCAUGGUUGUCGUCAGCUCGUGUCGUGAGAUGUUGGGUUAAGUCCCGCAACGAGCGCAACCCUUGAUCUUAGUUGCCAGCAUUCAGUUGGGCACUCUAAGGUGACUGCCGGUGACAAACCGGAGGAAGGUGGGGAUGACGUCAAAUCAUCAUGCCCCUUAUGACCUGGGCUACACACGUGCUACAAUGGGCAGAACAAAGGGCAGCGAAGCCGCGAGGCUAAGCCAAUCCCACAAAUCUGUUCUCAGUUCGGAUCGCAGUCUGCAACUCGACUGCGUGAAGCUGGAAUCGCUAGUAAUCGCGGAUCAGCAUGCCGCGGUGAAUACGUUCCCGGGCCUUGUACACACCGCCCGUCACACCACGAGAGUUUGUAACACCCGAAGUCGGUGAGGUAACCUUUGGAGA
rnacentral:rRNA from 1 species